UACGUAGGGGGCAAGCGUUGUCCGGAUUUAUUGGGCGUAAAGAGCGUGUAGGCGGCCUGAAAGGUCAGCUGUGAAAACUCGAGGCUCAACCUCGAGACGUCGGUUGAAACCAUCUGGCUAGAGUCCGGAAGAGGAGUGUGGAAUUCCCGGUGUAGCGGUGAAAUGCGCAGAUAUCGGGAAGAACACCCGUGGCGAAGGCGGCACUCUGGGACGGUACUGACGCUGAGACGCGAAAGCUAGGGGAGCAAACGGGG
rnacentral:rRNA from 1 species